rnacentral:tRNA from 1 species
AUUUUAAUAGCUAUGAGCGCAGGAUUGUAAAUCUUGAGAUGGGUUACCCCUUUUUUA